UUCUUGGAGAGUUUGAUCCUGGCUCAGGACGAACGCUGGCGGCGUGCCUAAUACAUGCAAGUCGAGCGAAUCAAUAGGAGCUUGCUCCUGUUGGUUAGCGGCGGACGGGUGAGUAACACGUGGGCAACCUGCCUGUAAGACUGGGAUAACACCGGGAAACCGGUGCUAAUACCGGAUAAUUCAUUCCCUCUCAUGAGGGAAUGUUGAAAGUCGGUUUCGGCUGACACUUACAGAUGGGCCCGCGGCGCAUUAGCUAGUUGGUGAGGUAACGGCUCACCAAGGCGACGAUGCGUAGCCGACCUGAGAGGGUGAUCGGCCACACUGGGACUGAGACACGGCCCAGACUCCUACGGGAGGCAGCAGUA
rnacentral:rRNA from 1 species